rnacentral:lncRNA from 1 species
AUACAAAUUCUUUUUUUCUAAAUAUAAAUCCAACGGCUAAGAUCUGCACCCAUUCUAGCAGACCCCACACCACAUUAUUACACUUGAUUUCACAGAUUUAAUACACAGUUAUCUGUUGUAUGUAUAUAUCAUCAGCAUCAUAAAAUCUACAUCUAUUAUGCUACACACCAUCAACAGCUUGCAACGAUUGAUCACCACAACAAUAUAAUUUAAUUCACCCAAAAAAUUUAGAAAAAAAAAAAACAGCCAAUAUAAUUUAAUUCACCCAAAAAAUUUAGUCUACAUCUAUUAUGCUACACACCAUCAACAGCUUGCAACGAUUGAUCACCACAACAAUAUAAUUUAAUUCACCCAAAAAAUUUAGAAAAAAAAAAAACAGCCAUAUGAUUGAUUAUCAAGCGGACUCAUCGGGAUGCUGAAUAGUAGAAGUAGUAGUACUAAAACCAUUUUCCUUUUUUACCCUCGGUUGAAUCCCAUAAUAACUAACGUACCAUUUGACGAACUUCCUCAGGCCGGCGGCCAGAUCAGUGGUGGGCUUGUACCCGAAGUCUUUGUAAGCCAAGCUCACGUUGGCAUGCGUAUACGGCACGUCCCCAUUUCUCGGCAUUCUUAUCACAUGCUUUUUGGCCUUAGUGUUCAACAGAUUCUCCAAUAUCGACACCAAUCUCCCCACGGGCACUGGCGACGUGUUUCCGAGAUUGUAAACUCUCAGCUGAGCGGGGCCCCGCUUCUUCCCCCCGCUCCCCGUGCUCUUCCCCGCCGUGUCCAACGCCCCGACACAGCCCUUCACUACGUCAUCUAUGUAUGUGAAGUCACGCGCCACCUCCCUGUCAUCUUGCGUCUUGUACACAUCAAUGGUUUUGCCCUGUAAGAUAUCUUUGGUGAAGAAGAAGUAAGCCAUGUCGGGUCUCCCCCAGGGGCCGUACACGGUGAAGAACCUUAGGCCCGUGAGGGCAAGACCGUAAAUAUGGUUGUAAGUGUGGGCGAUUUCCUCCCCGGCUUUCUUAGUCGCCGCGUACAAACUCGCGGGCUGGUCGGUUCUGUGCGACUCGGAGAAGGGGACCUGGGUGUUGAGGCCGUACACCGAGCUCGAUGAGGCCCACACGAUCGACGGCUGAGGGUUCACCGAUUUGCAAACUUCGAGCAGGUUGACGAAUCCAGCGAUGUUGGAUGCCACGUAAGAUUGCGGAUUCUGCAUGGCGUAGCGAACCCCGGCCUGUGCUGCUAAGUGCAGUACGUGGGUGAAAGGUACAACGUCGAAAAGCUUUGUUAACAGGGGAGCGUCAUUCAGGUCCCCUUCGACGAUGAAGACUUGAUGCUUUUGAAGCAGCUUUUGCCUCGCCCGUUUAAGCGACGGAUCGUAAUAGCUGUUGAAAUUAUCCAACCCCAAAACGCCAUCGCCUCGCUUUUUGAGAGCGAGGGAGCAGUGAGAUCCGACGAAACCGGCAGCUCCGGUGACCAAAACGGUCAUCCCGUUGGGGCGGCGAGGGGUGGCAGAGUGGCGGACCUGCUUCUCCCACUCUGCCCCGCCAGUGGAAAAGGAAGAGGAGAAGAACGAAGAGGAGAGAAGACUGUGCUGAUGAGUGAAUAAAUUACGUGGGUUAUUUUUAUUAUUACUGUUAUUGUCACCACUCUCACCAGUAUUGUCAGAAAGUGGAGGGUGAUUGAGUGUGAAGAAAAGGAUUAGAACAAGUGCAAUCAGAAUUGUGGCACGAAAAAAGAGUUUUGAAGAAGAGUGCAACAUUUUUGUGACAUGUAGCCUCCGGAGGUAACUGUUGUAGCGUUCUAGCUUAAUGGUUUUGCUUGUGUCUGGCGGAGAAGCCAUUAUUGGGAUUUUGUUUGUUGGGUUUAUUGCUUUGUUCUAAACUUUUGUGAGAGAGCCUCUCGCUAACAAGAUUAUAUUAUAAAGUGACAGACGAGUGUGGUGGACCAAAAUGGGUUGGAGACCACUUUCCUUUUCCUCAUUUCCUUUGCUACUUUUAAGGGAAAAUAACAAUUGCCCCCUCGCAGUUUAACAAAAUAACUACAGAGACUUCCUUACUUUUAGAAAUGAUCUGCAAUAAAGUUGAAUCACUGUAAUCUCAAAUAGGAUUGGUAAAAUUUCCCAAAUUCUGAUCAAGAUUCGGGAUCCCGACCCAUUUAGGAUGAAUUCGAGAUAAAAUUUUAUCUCAAUUUACUAUUUGGUCAAUAUUUGGGAUAUCUGAAAAUUUUUAUCAGGAUCCUAAAUGCUCCAAAAUUUGAGUUUUUAAAAAUGUAUGAUUAUUCAAUUUACUGAAUUACAUAUAUAUAACAUGCCGGUUAUGAUGUAUGACAAGUUAUUUUAAUUAAUAAUAUGUAUAUGACAUGUAUGUCAUGAGAGUAUAACAUGUCCUUUCUUCUUUUCUCCUUUCCUUUGUUAUUUUUAAGGGAAAAUAACAAUCACGUCUUCGUAGUUUAGCGAAAUAGUUACAGAGACUUCCUUGUUUUGAAAAAUGAUGGGAAAUUUACAAGAAUAACCUUAAAACUUUUGUAAUUUUUGAAUUUAACCCACCUAAUUUUUUUCUAUCAUAACUAGCCAAAUAUCUUAUUUUUGGACUAAAUUACCCUCACCACUUUCAUCAAAUUUACAAAUGCAUGCCACUCGAUAAAAUCCAACACAACUAUAAUGCUCUCAACCCUAAACAACUUAACAAACCUUCAUCACUCUCAAUAAAUCAACAAAUUCCAUCAAACAAACAUUGCAUAAUUGAAGAUGUAAUCAUCAAUUGGAGAGCUUCUUAAAAUUAGUUUAUACUCUUACACAAUUUAAACCUUUAAUCUAUUGAUUUUAUCAACUAAGUUCAAAAUUAAAGUGGAUUUUGUUGCAAAUGUUGUUAUUUUUCAUUCAUAAAAUAAUGUGAUUUGUUAAAGUACUUAGUUUGAGUUGAGAAAUGAAGAAAAAUCAUUGAAAACACAAAAAAUGGGGCAAAAAAUCAAGUUCAGAACAAGUGAGACAUGUAGUGGAACAAGUGCCUGUCUCACAUAAACACACUGCGUUUAUGUGCGACAGGCACCUAUCCCACUGCAUGUCGCACAUAAAUCCACUGGGUUUAUGGAGUAUAUGAUUUGUCUCGUCGUAAGCUUCGAAACGGUAUAUUAUACGUCUAAAACAAACACAUGUAUCCCAAAUUAUGGCUUUCAAAAAAUAUCUGAAAUUUAGUAAGACAUGCAUUUGUCCCACUGCCUGUCUCACCAAAUUUAGUGCGACAAGUAUUGGGACAAGUGUCUGUCACACAUAAACCCACUGGUUUUAUGGAGUAUAUGAUUUUGGAUUUGAUUUGUCUCGUUGUAAGCUUCGAAACGGUAUAUUAUAAACGGACACAUGUAGCCCAAGUUAUGACUUUUGGAAAAUAUCUAAAAUUUAGUGAGAUAGGCACCUGUCCCACUGCCUGUCUCACUAAAUUUGGUUAGACAGGCAGUGGGAUAUGUGUCUGUCUCACUUGUUCUGGGCUUCAUUUUUUGCCCGAUUUUUCUGUGUUUUCAAUGAUUUUUCUUCAUUUCUCAACUCAAACUAAGUAUUUUAACAAAUCACAUUAUUUUAUGAAUAAAAAAUAACAACAUUUGCAACAAAACCCACUUUAAUUUCGAACUUAGUUGAUAAAAUCAAUAGAUUAAAGGUUUAUAUUGUGUAAGAGCAUAAACUAACUUUAAGAAGCUCUCCAAUUGAUGAUUAUAUCUUCAAUUAUGCAAUGUUUGUUUGAUGAAAUUUGUUGAUUUAUUGAGAGUGAUGAAGUUUGUUGAGAGUGAUGAAGGUUUGUUAAGUUGUUUAGGGUUGAGAGCAUUAUAGUUGUGUUGGAUUUUAUCGAGUGGCAUGCAUUUGUAAAUUUGAUGAAAGUGGUGAGGGUAAUUUAGUCUAAAAAUAAGAUGUUUGGCUAGUUAUGAUAGAAAAAAUUAGGUGGGUUAAAUUCAAAAAUUGCAAAAAAUUUAAGGUUAUUCUUGUAAAUUUCCCAAAAAUGAUUUGCAAUAUAAUUGAAUUACUACAGUCUUAAAGGGCAUGAUUGACUAUUUUUAAGAAUAAAUAAAUCUCUAUUACUAUUUCACUAAAUUAUAGGGGUUAUCACUGUCAUUUUCGCCUGUCUUAAUAACCUCAGCUUGAGUAAUAAUAACCUUAGUUUUUCGAGAAUAAUUACAGAAAUGUCAAUGCGUUUUUGUAUUUUAAUGGAAUUGUGAAAAUGUUGCCAGCUAUCUUGGCCUGUAGAAAAACUGGCUUCCAUGUGAUACAAACGUGUUCUGAUGUAAAAAUAUUAAUUGAAUAUUUCUGAUAUUUGCUAAAUUUAUAGGCUAUAUUGCCCACUCAUUUCAUCAUACACAAUACAGGGACACCAUUUUGAACAGUAAUUAAUGUCAUCAUGUGACCAAAAUUUCAUAGAAUCUUCCUAUCUACUUCCGGCUCACUUAAUUAUAAUUUUCCAUUUUCGUGCCUUCGACCGACAAAAAUGCAACAUGGGUUUGCCCUAUAAUAUGUUCUUAGAAGGAAAAAAAAAAGAAAAGUUUUAAUGGUUAUAGGUUAAAAAAUAAUUUUGCACAAGUGGGUUGACUUGUCUUCAUUAAUUUACGAAGGUGCAUGCUUAAAAGCUCUGUAAUGGUAACAGAUUAUGCAGUUAAUGUGCAUGAUUUUUGCUUAAAUUAAUUUAGUUAACGGAGAGUUAGUUAAUAAAUCAAGAUUGAAUUAAAGUCAGAAACUGUUGCCGAAUGCCCAUAAUUUCCUUGAAAGUUCCUGCAAUGAAUAGACAAAUUGCGCGUCGGUGGUCUAAAUCCUUUCAUCAUCAACUUUUAUAAUGCAAUCGGUGAGCUGGAUUUGGAGCUUUGUCCAAUUUUUGUCAGUUUACAGCACUAGUUGGCCCUAUUUUUGAAAGUUUCCUUCGGCAAUGGAUAGGCACAAACUAUUUUUUGUUUUUUAGUGGUAAUAGAAUUAUAAAAUAAAGGUGUUCAUCACUUAUAACUCUUAAUAACUAAUUAUCAGGAUUAUAUAUAGGUGAUAAUUUCAUGUCAUCUAUCACAUUUGUAGGCAUAUAAAUUUUACAUUCCAACUUUACAAACCAAAUCAGAAGUCUUACUAAACCUCUUAAUUUAUUUAUGUAGUGUUGCAGUGUUUAUAAAUUGAGUCACUUUCAUAUACCUCUUAAAUUAGCUCUAUAGUGUUUCAGUUUGGUCUAACUCUAUGAUAUUUAGACCAAAAACUAAUUACUAGACUAUAUGAGAUAAUACCACAUCAUCUAUCACAUUCAUGGAGAUAUAAAUUUUAUAUUCCAACUUUAAAAAUUGAUUAUUGCAAUUAGACAUCUUCUUGAACUUCUUAAUUUAAUUAUGCGAUACUACAGUCUGGAUAAUGAAGAUUCUGAUUAUGAACUGAAUCUACUUUUAAGUAUUUCUUAAAAUAACUCUAUAAUGUCUCAAUUUAGGCCAGCUCUAUCGUAGACCCAAAAUAAAUUGAAUUUACUUCUAAAUAUUUAAAAAAAAAUCAACCUAAGCAAAUCAAAUCCUUAACUUAAAACAUAAGGCAAGGUGUCCACCACUCAAGUGGUUUGCUUUAAAGGGCAUAGUUAUUAGAAGUUUUUAGUUUAAUAAUCUUAGUCUUCUUUUUUUUAAGAGUUAAUACAUUUGUUAAAAUUAAAGGGCAAAUUUAUUAGAGGUUUUCAAUUUAAUAAUCUUACUUUUUUUCUAGAGUUAAUACACUUGUUAAAACUAAUGAGAAUCAGGAAUUACAUUUUGUGAAGUCAGAUGAAUUGAUUUCAACUAAAGUGUGUGAACAUAGAGAAAUGACAGAAUAUCCACUCCAACUUGGCCUCAUUCCAUAUAAGAGUGAAUAAAAAUUGAACUAAUAGUAAAGUUGUCACAAUUUUUGAAUAAUUGACAAAAUUUACCUAAAAAUUUUUCUUGUUAGAGUUGAGAUGGAGUUUUUUUUUGUGGGAGUGCAUAUGAUU